rnacentral:lncRNA from 1 species
AGUUUUCACUACUGAUUGUUAUAAAUAUCAGUAGUGGUAUGUUAGUUUUAUUUUUUUUUUUUCUUUCGUUUUUUUGUAGCUUCCUGUGCCUGCAUGUUUUGUAACAUGUUUAAGACCAAAUUUCAUCACAGACCCUAAAGAAUGAGCCAUUGCUCCUAGUGCUAAAGCUAUAUGUUAAAAAUCAGUUGCAGUAGCAACCAAUAACCACAACAACUUAGAAGUAGGGGUAAAUCCAAAAAACACAGAACAAAUUAAAGAAGUAAUAUCCAUGAUACAUGACUUUUGAAUAAUUUAAGCAAUUUUUGAAUGAUUUGCAGUCUUUGACCACACUAGGCAUUAUAACUCUAACGUAACCUUGUAAAGAACCAGCCAUAAGGCUGGCCACCAAAUAAAGCCACACCCCAUUCCCUUCCUACUACAAUACAUUGAAUAUCCUAGUCCCAAUUUUCCAGACUGCAUUCCUCUUUCCAAUGAAAUUCGUAACUGAAUGUAGUAUAUGAGCAGCUCGAUUAAACUGAACAUGUUUCAAUGCCCUGCAAGAUAGAAACCAAUGCAGACUUCAGAAUUAUAUAUAGUCCCAUAAACCAGAACUCCCUUGCACUACAUUACACUCAAAUCUCGCUAUUCAUACUAUGGCAACAAAAAUUAACAUGUUUUGCCAUUUUUUGCAACAGAAUCUUUCAUGCAAAACUGGACAUCCGAUCGGAGUCUUAGUCUUUCACAAUGUAUAAAACCACCACAACAUGAGUUACAGAUCAUGCCAAGUAUGUCCUUUCUGCAAAAUAUUGUGUUCCUUAAAGAUAAUUUAAUAUUUAAUUAAAGCACCUUGUGCAGGAAAUAAGCUAGCCAACCAAGGGAUAAUAUGAAUUGUC